UUUUUGAAUGAAUUUAUUUGGUAUUUGAUAUACCAAAUUCAUGCACCAUGCACGUGAGAAUUUGUUUUCUACAGUUGCUUGGCAAAUAGUUUGUUAUAGCUUUUCUAUGUUAUUCUGUUGUGACUAUACACUGGAAUAUAGUUUCUAGGGAAACAUGCAUGCUUCAUGAUAUGCAGUUGAAUAGGUAGUUUGUUUAAUAAUUAUAGCUGCUAGUGAAGCAUGCAUUAGAGGAGACUGACCUCCUCUGAGUUGGUCCAGCUGGAAAACGGAGGGACCAGUGCUUAUAUGGCAAGAGACAAUGGCUUCUGCACAAUUCAAUCGGUUGCUUCUUGCUUUAGAAAGAUUCUCUUGAUGCAUGUACCUCCAAAAAAAUGCCCAAUCCAUUAUUAAGAGUGAAUCCCAAGUGCAUCCACAAACUAUUAUAUUACUUGGAUAACUACCAUACUCAUGUCCUAUUGUAUAUGGUAUUGGUAUAUUACUUGGACAACUACCAUACUCAUGUCCUAUUGUAUAUGGUAUUGGUAUAUUACUUGGACAACUACCAUACUCAUGUCCUAUUUGUAUAUGGUAUUGGUAUGUUACUUGGACAACUACCAUACUCAUGUCCUAUUUGUACAUGGAUGUAGAUCCUUGUACAGUCUACUAUCCCUGUCGUUACAAGAGUACUCUCCUUGUCCUGUACUUUUCCCAACUAAUUAAGAUCGUUUAAUUGAGUAAACUUUGGACCAGUAAACUGUCAUCAAGAUUUAAUAUUUUUUUUUUCUCCUGCCUAGUAGGGUUUAGGAUAGGAGAAAUAUAAAGGGACCUUCUUGUUUCCUCUUUCCUUUUAGAGGGCUUUCAUUGUUAUUGGAAGAUUAUUGGCAAAAGUCCACACUUGUGGGAUUAUACUGGAUAUGUUGUUGUUGGCAAAAGUCGCUCAAAUUCAAAGGACUGGUUCACUUUAAUAAUUUUCCUUAUAGGUGUGGGCUAUCAUGAUUUAGUACACUUUCAUUCUUUAAGGUGGAGAUUUUUCUAGUUGAAACUCUUUAUAUGUACUGUAAAGAGUAUGAAUUAUGUGUUUGGGCCUUCUAGAACCUAAUGUGUAUUAAUAACAUUUAUUGUGAUUCUGUUGGCUUAUAAAUCAUGUUGGGUGGUAAAUUUGUCUUUCUAUUGAUUCUUGUUAGCAGUAAUAGUUGAAAAUGGUUAAUUGGAUGAAAGGGGUCAAAUGAGCCAAAUCGAGUGAAGCGCAUAGCUAUUAGAGCUUAAGCUCGAAUUUAGGGAAUGAAUGGAGGACUCAAGCUUGGCGUGGCUAGAUCAACUGUGAGGGAGAGAUAGCAAGAAGGCAACUUUAUUUGACAAAUAAAAUCAGUGAAGUAGGGGAAGAACACGAGAAACCAGGGUUCAAAUCCCAACAGAAACUAAAUUAUGCUACGUGCUCUUUUACUAUCUACCUAAGCCUUGACAGGUAGAGUUACUUUGUUAACUGUGUUGGUGGGAAGCAACAAGUAUGUAGUCGAGGUGCGUGCAAGCUGGCGCAUAUAUAAAUUGAUUUGGCAAUUCCAUAAUGGAAAAUAAUACGAGUAACUGGAAACAAGUUAAGUCAGAAAGUAAUUCCUAUUUGUCAAAUCGACAAUGAAACCCCACCUUUCUUACCCUAAGUUGCUACACAAUUAUACAAAAACAUGCUAGAGGCAAGAAGAUGAGUCUUCAUGAUUUUCUGUCACCAUAUGUCUACCAACUCCAAAGUUAAUAGUUAUUUUUGCAUUUGCCAAAAAUAACUGUUGUCGAAGGAGGUUACAAGAUGGUCUGGAAUGAGAGAGAAAGAAGGGAAGAUCAGAGACAAAUGAAAAUGGAGAUAGAGAGAAAAUUCAUUAUGGCGAAAUCAAAGGUAACGUACAGAUGGAAUUAUAUAGGAACCUGGAAGGGAGAGAUAAGAUGAGAGAAAAGUGAGGCACUGGAUUGUGUUGAUGGCCAAUGCUGAAUGGGGAAGGCGAGGAACGAGCAAAAAGCAGCGUUGGGUUGCUCAGGUCUUAUGUGCAAGUGGCAAACAAUAGCAUGUUAAAGGAAAAAAAAUCAUGGAUAAGCCGGAACCUACUGAUUUGGGCAACUCAGAGAUCAUGAUCGGCUCAGGGAAUGCUUGACUCUUGAGAACUUUAGUCAUUUACACCUCUAAUGUAAAGUGUGUAAAAUGAAGCUAAUAAAGGCUUAUAUCUUUUUUCAGAACAUCUGAUGGGAGGUUCAUGCUUUUGCAUUUAUGUCUGGAAGUUUGGGUAUUGCUAAAUUUUUGUGAGAACUUGAGGUAUACUGGCAAGUUCCUAGAAAGAGUGACUGUGGACCCUCAAUGAGAAGGGAUGUCUUGCAGUUACUUGUUUAGCCGUUUGAGGAGCAAAAACUGAUACUACAAAUUUCAGUAGGCAAGAUCAGAAAUAUUGCAGAUAAUUAAUAUAGAAAAAGUUGACAAAGAACGCCAACUUGUUUUAUUGGUGGAUGACAUUUGACCUUUCCCAGGGACGUACAAGAAGGAUUUUAGCUUAAGAAAGUUGUGGAAUCUAUGUCCUGUAAAAAGAUGGUUUGAGAAUCAGAUAUAAUUCUGGUCAAUUGUGCAAAUUACUCAGAUAGAAGAUGAAAGGAUUAUAUAUAAUAUCACAUGUUGUAUAGAUGGAUGACUGGGGACGGUGAGGUACUGUCUCCCCUUUUUUUUUUGGAUUAAAAGAAUUAUUAAGUUAUCAUCAUUCAUAUGCUCUUGGCUUUAGAUGUAUUGAAUCAUUUCCAUUUUGGUCAAAUAGUUACAUAAAAAUUUACAACGAUUGGUUCCAAGACAUGCCUAAAUAAAAUUGUUACUAUUAUCAUACAAAUAUUAAGUUUUAACAGUCACAUCUGAGAUGCGUAUUUACAUUUCGGACAUAAUGUAGUUUACAGUUACCUAAUAACAACAAGAGCUGAUUUUCUUAACGCAAAGGUCUAUCGAGCGAUUAGUGCCUUGUAUGACCCAACUAUUGGAGCCGUAGAGAACUUCAGCACUAGGAGUAUUAACAGAUAUUUCUUCCAUCUUAGACAUAAGAUGCAUCAUUUGGAAGUCCCUUGAUGCAACUGUGAUGUCAGGACCUUUAACCGGUACUAUGGGAGGCGGUGGUGUUUGAUGAACUCAAACAAUGAGAUAGUAGUGCAUUUGGAUUCUGUGGAAAUACCCAAAAACUGAGGCUAGUAAAAUGGUUUAAAUAUGAAAUGAACAAUAAAAUAUAAGAGACUCGAGAGUUUGGUAAUACAAGAAGUGAUCGGAGCCUCCUUUCGUAGUAGUUAAUUACAACAGAAGCAAGCUUCCCAAAAUAAGACUCACUUAAGACACCAAGUAUGGUAGGAAGGACUUAUGAGCUCCUCGCGUAGUUCAGUCUUCUUCAAAGGGGGGAGUGUGGAGCUCAAUCAAUAAGUUAUGGAGUGAGUACAGUCAAUUUGUGAAACUGAAAUUGGGGAAUGAUAAUAAUAUUUAAUUUUGGUCAGAUAUAUGGCUGGGAAGUGAAAGUCUUAGAUCAAAAUUUCAUUCUCUGUGUAACUGCUCCACAAACAAGAGUGGAAGUGUAUCGGAAUUCUACUCCAGCACUGGUUGGCAGUUAAGUUUAAGGAGGGGUGUCAAUGAUCGGGGAGUUGAUGAUUUUGCUCAAUUGAUGCAAUUGGUGGACACUGUUCAUCUGGAAGAAGAUAAGAGAGACUCUUUAAUCUGGACAGCAAACAAUGAUGGUAUCUUUACAGUUAAUAGUUGUUACAAGCUGCUACAAAAUCAACAGGGGUGCUAUCAAUCAGAUUUGCCAUGGAAAGCGAUAUGGAAAUCAAGAACACCUAUUAGAGUAGCUUGUUUUGGUUGGAUUGCAGCAAGGGAAUGAUACAAUAACGGAUACGCGGAAACGAGAAAUUAAGAAGAUAAACAAAAGGAAAAGAAAGAUAGAUAGAUUGACACAAAAAUAGGCACAAUUAGGCAACCAAGGUUCUUCAAUAACCAAGACCUCCUAAUUACACUCUAGAUAGCACCAACCUCUUUGGAUGACCUCUAGGGAAUUGAAUUCCCAAGCAACCAAUCCUCUCACAAUCAAUAAUCAAGAAGAGCCUACCAAAGGCCUCAAAGGAUGAGGGUUAGUGUUAAGGUGGACCACCCUACCACCAUGCCAAGUAAGCACAAAUUUUUGAUAUAGCCAAGUAUCAACCAUUUUCAAGCAAAAUAAGCUCUUAAGUAGAGCACUAAGAACUUGGCUAUCCCAAAAGAUCAAGAAAUGAGGAUAUUCUCAGAGAACCAAUGAUUUCAAGAAACCAAGUUGGCAUAAAACACAAAUGAUCCUCAAUUGCAAAAUGAUACCAUUCACACAAAGUGAAGAUUUCGCCGGGGUCAAAAGGAAAAGAUACCCACAUAUCACGGGCAAGGCAACAACUAAGCACCCCAAUAAGGCCCCACCCAACAUCAAAUGAACUCUCAACAAUAACAUGAAUGUCAUCAUAUGCAAAUAAAUAGUAAAGAAAGGUGUCACUUAAAAUGACUUCAUCUAUGGUGUCCUCAAAUGUAGCCUCACUAUUAGGUUCAAGAACAAAAUCUAGCUUGCUACUAGGAGUUUGAACACACAAGGAAGAAGUAGCAAUUUGUAAACAAGAAUCACCUUCCUUUUCAAAACACUCCUUCCCCAUAAAUGUAUCAUCAUUUCCCAAAGGAAGAUCUCCAUCAUAGGGAAGAGCGCCAUCAUGCCAUAGUGGAUUUUCAAACGCCAUGUAGUCCCCAAAAGUGGCUACACUUUCAACAUUACAAAACAUUCCACUAGUUACUUCACUUGCAAUAGUCAUGUUAGCAUCAAAUAAGACAUUAUCUUUUAAGAGAGAAUAAUCCAUGAACAAUGAGGAGUCAAAGCAUGUAAUUUCAUUUUCACAAAGACAAACGUCAUCUUUCAACAUACUUCCAUUCACAUGACUGUUUACAUGACACACACCACCAUCACAAUUUUGAGUCUUAUCACAUGACACUAAGACAAGAUCAAGGGACUCAUUUUGACAUGAAACAAAUAAAGAUGAGGUGUCACACUCUUUCAAAUGACCAACUAUAUCAAAAUCAACAUUCACUAGAGGCACAUUAAGCACAUCACAAGGAUCCUCAAGUAGUGAAUUAUCAUUACAAGCAAGUUGAUCAACACAAAUUUCAACACUAGUUGGUAGUAUGUCAAGCUCACAAGAUUUUCUAACAUGAUUACCACAUGACAAUGUACUACCAUUCAAGUCACACGUGUCAACACUAGGUGGACACAAAUUGAUCUUACAAGAAGAGUCAACUUGGUCAUCAAAAGGAUCAACUAGUGUAUGAGCACGCUUAGCAAUUGAUAAUGCACUAUCAUUCAAAUCACAAGUGCCAACACUAGGUGGACACAAAUCAACCUUCCAAGAAGAAUCAAUUCGGUCAUCAAUAGGAUCAACUAGUGUAGGGGCACUUGCAACAAUGACAUUAUUAAUACAUGGCAAAGAAUCAUUAAGCUCACACAAAGACAAGCUACUACUCAUACACUCAUCACAAACUUGUCCAUUUAAAGAGUUGGAAGUAUUGAAUUUAGCUAUUGGACCUUGAAGUUCCCACGAAGAAUUUUCUUCACCUUGAGCUAUCCAUGGCAAGCACACUUGACCAAUCGUAGAGAUGGUCUUGUCCUCGUUUCCUCCUUUCAAGUACGGGAGUUCUUCACGUGAAGACUCCUUUAGCAAGUCAUUUCCUUGAGUACCUAUAAAAGAAGUAGAAAGAUUAGAUUUAAUUUGUGGCAACUCUCUCACAUCACUCCACACAUCCUCUCUUUUUUCCACUCGUGAGUUGCCACUUUGCACUCCCUUACUCCUCUCUAUCUUUCCCAUCGUUUCAUCUAGGUUAUCCACUAGGUGUCUCAAUUUGAUUACCAUAGCCAUCACAUCACUAAGUGUAGGUUCCCCGGGGGAAACUUGAGUUUCCUUCACCGUCAUCAUCGUACCUACUUAAGAACACUUAAAAACAAGAAAACAACGUUAGUAGUAUAAGAAACUCACCACACUCGUGUUUACACUCUUUUGUGCUUGGCUAGCACCACUCAAAUGAACUCACACACUCUUGCCUUUUACCACUCAAUUGGUUGGGCCCGAUGUUGAUUCUCGAUUGGAUUUGGUUGCUUGCAAGGUGCACAAUUUCUACUCGAGGUUGGAAUGGAUUCUUGUUAGACUCGAAGAAAGAGGAUGACUCAAUUAAAACAAACGCACUUGAAUCAAGAAAUUAACGAUGAAGUUGUAAAACGAGAAAAGAACGAAAAGAAUUGGCUUGAAAGAAAUGACUCAAGAACUAAUUAGCAACUAAUAAGGUCGAUUACUAGUUGUUAAUUAGUUGUAAAAAUCAAAGAAAAGAAGUUAGGAAAGAAUCAAACCAUUUUGACACUUGGAAUUUUUUUCGAAAACUCUUCAGUGAUUCAUGCUUUCCUUCCGCUUCGCGGAUGAAAAGCGGAUGCUCUCAGACAAUCAGACUUUCCUUGCGCUAUGCGGACCAAAAGCGGAUGAACAGUACUUUUUUUUUUUUUUGAAAAAUCAGAAAUUUAGACUAAGUAUUUCUGAUUUUUUUUUGUUGGGCCCACAAACAUUUUUUCACAACUUUUGGAUCAAAUGGCCCUUUGGAGAGUCUUCUUCCUUAUGAAGAUUUGAAGGUCUUCAAGAACACAAGAACAAUUCAAAAAUUCAACUACCCUCAAACCAACUCCAAAUUAGCUCAAAUUUCGGAUUUAAGUUCUCUUUGAUGUAGAGAACAAAACCCAAUAAGUUUCAACCUUCAAUUUCAACCGCAUCACAAGACCCACUUUUCAAGUUCUUGAGUUCUUUAAAGCUUCAAAUACCAAAAAUGGUAGAUCCUUAAAUCCUUGGUCAAAUACCUCCAAAUUUCGGAUUUAGAGUCCUUAUCCACUAGAGAACAAACCCCAAUCAACUUGAACCUUCAAUUCUUCUCCUUCUUCAAACCCACCAAUCUUGUUCUUGAAGCUUUGAAGCUCAACAAUGGUGGAACACAAACCCUAACUCCUAAUAGCUCGAAAUGGAAGAUUUGGACUCUAGAAACACUAAGAAACUCUAAUCUAACACUAGAUUCAACAAAAUCAACAAGAAAAUUCGAGUUUUUUUUUUUUUUGAAUUUCGAUUUUUUUUUUUGUUGAAUCAAAACCCAAGACUAGAUUUGAUGGAACAAACCUAAACUAAGCUCUAAUACCAAUUGAUACAAUAACGGAUACGCGGAAGCGUAUCUGUUAUUGUAUCAGGGAAGCUUGUUUAACUCAGGAGAACUUGCAGAAGAAAGGAAUCACUCUUUGUAAUAGGUGCUACAUCUGUGAAGAAGAGGCAGAAAUAGUCAAUCAUCUAUUCAUUCAUUGCAAAGUGGCAAGACAGUGCUGGGAGCUCGUUUUAAAUUUACAUGGUGUCAAGUGGGCAAUGCCUUCCACUGUGAAGAGCCCGUUGGAUUCAUGGCAACACCAAGGGAUGGGUAAAGCUCAAAAGCUAGUUUGGAGAACAAUUCCUGUGUAUGUUCUGGACAAUAUGGCUGGAAAGGAACAGGAUUUGCUUUCAAGGAAAAAGGCAGUACGUAUCCCGGAUUAAGAAUUGAUGCUUAGUAAAUUUGUAUUUUUGGUGUAAAAGACGAGUUAUGGAAAAUAUGGAGCAAUAUAUGAAUUUCCUAGAGAAGAUAGGGGGUUUGUAGCUUCCCUGGUAUGGCAGGGGCUGUUUUUGUUGUAUUUCUGUACCAUCUUGGUACCUUUUAAUAAAAUUUACCUUAUCAAAAAAAAAAAA